rnacentral:rRNA from 1 species
CCGGCGAUUUCCGAAUGGGGAAACCCAGUGUGUUUCGACACACUAUCAUUAACUGAAUCCAUAGGUUAAUGAGGCGAACCGGGGGAACUGAAACAUCUAAGUACCCCGAGGAAAAGAAAUCAACCGAGAUUCCCCCAGUAGCGGCGAGCGAACGGGGAGGAGCCCAGAGCCUGAAUCAGUGUGUGUGUUAGUGGAAGCGUCUGGAAAGGCGCGCGAUACAGGGUGACAGCCCCGUACACAAAAAUGCACAUACUGUGAGCUCGAUGAGUAGGGCGGGACACGUGGUAUCCUGUCUGAAUAUGGGGGGACCAUCCUCCAAGGCUAAAUACUCCUGACUGACCGAUAGUGAACCAGUACCGUGAGGGAAAGGCGAAAAGAACCCCGGCGAGGGGAGUGAAAAAGAACCUGAAACCGUGUACGUACAAGCAGUGGGAGCCUCUUUUAUGGGGUGACUGCGUACCUUUUGUAUAAUGGGUCAGCGACUUAUAUUCUGUAGCAAGGUUAACCGAAUAGGGGAGCCGAAGGGAAACCGAGUCUUAACUGGGCGUUAAGUUGCAGGGUAUAGACCCGAAACCCGGUGAUCUAGCCAUGGGCAGGUUGAAGGUUGGGUAACACUAACUGGAGGACCGAACCGACUAAUGUUGAAAAAUUAGCGGAUGACUUGUGGCUGGGGGUGAAAGGCCAAUCAAACCGGGAGAUAGCUGGUUCUCCCCGAAAGCUAUUUAGGUAGCGCCUCGUGAAUUCAUCUCCGGGGGUAGAGCACUGUUUCGGCAAGGGGGUCAUCCCGACUUACCAACCCGAUGCAAACUGCGAAUACCGGAGAAUGUUAUCACGGGAGACACACGGCGGGUGCUAACGUCCGUCGUGAAGAGGGAAACAACCCAGACCGCCAGCUAAGGUCCCAAAGUCAUGGUUAAGUGGGAAACGAUGUGGGAAGGCCCAGACAGCCAGGAUGUUGGCUUAGAAGCAGCCAUCAUUUAAAGAAAGCGUAAUAGCUCACUGGUCGAGUCGGCCUGCGCGGAAGAUGUAACGGGGCUAAACCAUGCACCGAAGCUGCGGCAGCGACGCUUAUGCGUUGUUGGGUAGGGGAGCGUUCUGUAAGC